rnacentral:rRNA from 1 species
CCCUGUCGUGGGGGAUAACACAUCGAAAGAUGUGCUAAUACCGCAUACGACCUGAGGGUGAAAGCGGGGGACCGUAAGGCCUCGCGCGACAGGAGCGGCCGAUGUCGGAUUAGCUAGUUGGUGGGGUAAAGGCUCACCAAGGCGACGAUCCGUAGCUGGUCUGAGAGGACGACCAGCCACACUGGAACUGAGACACGGUCCAGACUCCUACGGGAGGCAGCAGUGGGGAAUUUUGGACAAUGGGGGCAACCCUGAUCCAGCCAUUCCGCGUGAGUGAAGAAGGCCUUCGGGUUGUAAAGCUCUUUCGGCAGGAACGAAACGGUGGAGGCUAAUAUCCUUCAUCAAUGACGGUACCUGAAGAAGAAGCACCGGCUAACUACGUGCCAGCAGCCGCGGUAAUACGUAGGGUGCGAGCGUUAAUCGGAAUUACUGGGCGUAAAGCGUGCGCAGGUGGUUUUGUAAGACAGAUGUGAAAUCCCCGGGCUUAACCUGGGAACUGCGUUUGUGACUGCAAGACUAGAGUGCGGCAGAGGGGGGUGGAAUUCCACGUGUAGCAGUGAAAUGCGUAGAGAUGUGGAGGAACACCGAUGGCGAAGGCAGCCCCCUGGGUCGACACUGACGCUCAUGCACGAAAGCGUGGGUAGCAAACAGGAUUAGAUACCCUGGUAGUC